GAUGAACGCUGGCGGUGUGCCUAAUACAUGCAAGUCGAGCGGUAACACUUCGGGUGACGAGCGGCGGACGGCUGAGUAACGCGUAGGAAUGUACCCCAGAGUGAGGGAUAAGCACCAGAAAUGGUGUCUAAUACCGCAUAACCUCUUCGGAGAAAAGCUUCGGCGAUUUGGGAACAGCCCGCGUAGGAUUAGCUAGUUGGUGAGGUAAAGGCUCACCAAGGCGACGAUCCUUAGCUGGUCUGAGAGGAUGAUCAGCCACACUGGGACUGAGACACGGCCCAGACUCCUACGGGAGGCAGCAGUGGGGAAUAUUGGACAAUGGGCGAAAGCCUGAUCCAGCAAUGCCGCGUGAGUGAUGAAGGCCUUAGGGUUGUAAAGCUCUUUUACCCGGGAUGAUAAUGACAGUACCGGGAGAAUAAGCUCCGGCUAACUCCGUGCCAGCCGCCGCCGUAA
rnacentral:rRNA from 1 species